rnacentral:misc_RNA from 2 species
UUGUACACACCGGCCCGUCACACCAUGGGAGUUGGCCACGCCCGAAGUCGUUACCCUAACCGUUCGCGGAGGGGGGCGCCGAAGGCAGGGCUGAUGACUGGGGUGAAGUCGUAACAAGGUAGCCGUACCGGAAGGUGUGGCUGGAUCACCUCCUUUCAGGGAGACCUAACCUACACUUAGCUGAGGAAGUUAAUCAGCGAGUGAGAGGUCAUCUCUAGGUCGGAACGGGAUGAGUUUUUGGUUCUCAAACUAGGUCGGGUUCGGGACAUGGGCUAUUAGCUCAGGUGGUUAGAGCGCACCCCUGAUAAGGGUGAGGUCCCUGGUUCGAGUCCAGGAUGGCCCACUCGUGGGGGUAUAGCUCAGCUGGUAGAGCGCCUGCUUUGCAAGCAGGAUGUCAGCGGUUCGAGUCCGCUUACCUCCACCACACCAAGCAUAAAGAAGCUGAAAGAGAGAGACUAGCAACUUAUCCAGCUAAGGGAUUAGUAUAGAUGAGCUGCUGGCUUCUUGAGGCCAGUAAGAACCUUGAAAACUGCAUAACAAGAGAGUCUAAAAGAAAGGUAGUUGAGCCAUCAAUGUUUAGAAAUGGUCAAGCUAUGAAGGGCUCAUGGUGGAUACCUAGGCACAGAGA